AACCAUCAUAUCUCUAUCAAAAAAUCAAGAACAAAAUAAAACAUAUGGUAUAUUUACAUUGUGUUUAAGGUAUUAUUACAUCAUCCAUCUAGAUAAACUCAAACUCUUUAAACACCAUCUCAUCACCCCAAAUAAACCCAAAGUUGAAAAUUAUUUGUUUUUUAGAACAAUAAAAGUUAAUCAACAUUUUAAAGAAUAUUCUAGAAAUCGUAAACCUUGAAUUCAACUUUUGGACACUAUAUAAAUAUGUGCAUUAAAGUCAACAGCGGAAGUUUCAAAGGUCUGUGGGGCCCAGCCCAUUAGCUUCGACCACGCGUUCUCCAUAUUUGCCGGCGAACAAAAAGUUUUACCUUUCCACCACGCUUAAUUAAACCCGAGUCAGUAAUUAUAACAUUCUUUAAACCGGAGAUCGAGCCGAGUCAUUUGCCAAUAAACCCGGUUCAUCACCUUUCGGCUCCAGGCAUUGGAAGGACGGCAAUUUUACUGCUACUUUCAUAUUGCUGCGUGAUGUGGAUGCUUCUUCGUUAUCAGCUCUUACUUUUGGUGACUUCAUUGAUGAACCUCUGGUAAAGAAUGGCGGUGCAAUCUUGAGAAACCACCGGUCUGAUUUUGUUUCCGGAUCGAACCGGUCGAUUCGCUUGAAUGACCUUGCACCUCUGUUGCUUCCCUCUCCUGGACCGGCUCUGUAUCCUCUUGUGGUGCUACCGUGUCUUGGUAGCGUGACUGCACAGCUCCUUGUCCGGUUUAGUAGAGCCCGGUCCAUUACAUCUUUCCUCACCUUCUCCGGCAAUCUAAGAGUAUACCGGUCUAAAUUCUCCCCUGGUACCACUAAUGAGUGACCGGUCGAAUGUGACCUGAAUUUGCUUAACAUCUUUGGUCUCUUCAGAGAAAAAGACCUCGGCGGCCGGUUCACCGCGUUGAAACUCAAAUUUCGUUUAACUUCUGGUUUUACAGAGGUCUCCUCUUGCUGUGACAUCAAAUUCUCAUCUACAUCUAUUUGAAUCGUAACUUCGUUAUUUUGCUGUGUAUUCUCCUGUUCUUGCCCCAAUUCCCGGUUCACCUCAGGAGUUUGAACCGGCACCGGUUCAUCAGGUUUAGGAGUAAGAUCAGCUCGGCAAACAGGGCAAGUUACAUGAGAUUUGAGCCAAGCAUCGAUGCAUUCAGGAUGAAAAACGUGAUCACACUUAGGGAUCAAACGCAACAUUUCAUCAUCUUCAAAUUCGUUCAGACACACGGCACACUCCAAAGCUCCCUUCCCAAUAUGAUGAUCCUUUACUUCGACGUAAGUAAAGGUAGGAAAAGUCUCGAUGACGGAAUCUUCAAGUCCUCGAGUAGCAGCAGCAGUACGCCGUCGCAUGGAGAAGGUUUGACCGAUGCUUCCGUUAACUGCACCGCGGUUGCGUAUGUAAAUUGAGAAGAAGGCAAUGAAAAAAAGAGCAGCAAUAAGUAUCACUAUGAUAAUUGCCAUAGCAGGACUGACACUCGGGUACUCGAACCGAUUCUCGGAAUCAGGGGAAUUUGAUGGCUGAGCUGACGCCGGACAUAGUAAUACUAAUAGGAGGAGAUUAACGGAAAGAGCUUUAAAAUUAACCAUGGCAGCUUUUGGUGGGAAUUUUCGCCGGCCGGAGAAGGCAGAGUAAUGAAUCUAGGGAAGUGAGUAUUUUGGAUUUAUAUAUAAAAAAGGAAACAGAGGAAAGAGUUUUUUCUAUUGAGUCUGAA
rnacentral:misc_RNA from 1 species